GUUUGCCAACAUCUCUAUAGUUUGUCCUGAUUUUGUUCUACAUGCAUUAGAUUCAUUCCAAAGAUCGAUCUGAUAUCCCAGUGCUUGUAAUCUAUCUGAUCUAAAUCAUCUUUUUUUUUAGUAUUAGAUUCAUUCAGAAAUUAAAGCAAUUCUCUUUUGGAAUUCAAAAACCACAAGUUUUUCCUCUUCUAGAAAGCCAGCGAUCGACUUUAGUGGUGGUGAUUCUCUUUCUAGUGGGAAGCUACUUAGGUCAACAACGUAUGAAAGAACUGAAUUGAGGUAACACUCCACUAAAGAGGAUAUGUGCGUGAUAUGUGCAUGCGUGCUAUCCAGCGCCAAAGCAUGAGAAUCAUUUGUGAACCCACAGAAAUUGAUGCAAAAGCUUUUGUCAUAAUCAUUUGUAUGUCAACUGGAAAUUGAUGUGCCAUUGGCACCAACCAUUCAAAGGGCCAGCCACAUUUUGUUAGGUUUGCCUGUCAUUUCGGCAUCAGGAUCAUUGUUUUCAAUAUAUUAAUUUUUAUUUUGUGUU